rnacentral:lncRNA from 1 species
UUGGAAACGGGAGUAUCUUCAUAUAAAAUCUAGACAGAAACAUUCUCAGAAACUGCUUUGUGAUGUCUGCAUUCAAGUCACAGAGUUGAACAUUCCCUUUCAUCGAGCAGGUUUGAAACACUCUUUUUGUAGUAUCUGGAAGUGGACGUUUGAAGCACUUUGAGGCCCAUGGUGAAAAAGGAAAUAUCUUCCCAUAAAAACUAGACAGAAGCAUUCUCAGAAACUUCUUUGUGAUGUUUGUACUCAACUAACAGAAUUGAACCUUUCUUUUGACAGAGCAGUUUUGAAACACUCUUUUUGCGGAAUCUGCAAGUGGAUAUUUGGAUAGCUUAGAGGAUUUCGUUGGAAACGGGAAUAUAUACAUAUAAAAUCUAGACAGAAGCAUUCUCAGAAACUUCUUUGUGAUCUUUUCAUUCAACUCGUAGAGUUGAACAUUCCCUUUCAUAGAGCCGGUUUGAAACACU